ensembl:lncRNA
GUUUUGAGAAAGGUCGAUUUACUUUCAGUUUUCUCGUGAUUUUGUGAAGAUGAAUUAUAAAUAAAGAUCAUUAUAAGCUAUUAGUGCACUUUUUGUAAUUUGCUUCUUCCCUUCGUUUUCAGAUCUCCCACCUGAAUACACCUAUCCCGCCAUCACCAUGGGAUACAGAGGAGGGCCCUCCCCUCAGGACGUACGAUUGGCUGAGCCGGCUGAGUUGGAAACCAUUCCUGUGGAACCUGUGGAGCAUGCCCCGCCCCCUCUCUCCAGCCUGGGGGAGGAGCUUGGGGAGUGCCAUGCGAUCGUAAGACCCAUUACCGAAUCCCAGCUGCCAAUGGAGGAAAAGAGGGAGGAGGAUCUGGCGGACGCAGGGCAGGGCGCGGGCAUGUUGGCGCCAACUGGGCAACCGGAUCCGGUGGACGGCGUGAGCUGCUGUGUGCCCGCUGGAGACGAGGUUGAGGAGGGUGAUGAUGAUGAAGAUGAUGCCAUGCAAGUCCAGGAUCAGGCCACGAUGCUCCUCUGCCCGCCUGCUGAAGCCUCGAUCUUCGAGGUGGCACCGUGUCCAAUCGCUCCAAUUGAGAAACAGGAAACUCAAAGGGACGAAUGCAUCAUGUCCUCACAGGAGGACGUGACCGAGGUCCUUCCAGAGCAGGACAACGAUCAAGGGGUUCCUGAGGUUCCCGAGGUGGACGCUCAGAACGUUCCAGAUCCAGAACGUCCAUGUGUUCCAGAUCUUUCAGCUGAACUCCAGACUGAAGUGGUUCAACCACUUGAAGAAACAGCAACGGCGAACGUUCGAGAAAAAGAAGAUCAAGAAGACGACAAAGACGUCCAAAUCCUGUCCUCUUGUCCCUCUCCUGUCCAUGCCACCUCAUGCCCACAGCCCCUCGUGCCAAGCUACUGGAGUCUAGAGCUUCUGAUCGCUGCAGCUUUCUGUGGAGACUGUCCUCCACCUUCUCCACCACCUUCCACGCCUCCUCAGGACUGCAGCGCUCAGCUCCACCCCAGCACUCACGGCAUGGAGCUCCUGAGCGAAGUCGCCGACCUGGAGCUCCAGCACCAUCGCCACAGUGCUGCUAAUAGUGAAGGAGAAGAGCAGUUAAUUUUUGAUCUCCAGAGUCUGGCUACGCUGGCAGCUGCCCGGGCACUGGAGUUUGGUGCCAAGGCGAACAGCCUGGCAGAAUCUGAGAAGCAGAACCCGGGCAGGAGGAUCCUCAACCUGCGCCGGAAAUGCACCUGGACCCCUCGCCACGAGCCGGUACUGCUCUACUGUACUACUGUAGCAGAGAAUUUUACACUUUUAUCCUGCUUUAAUAUCAGACAGUGCUGUUAAACAUGGUGGUGGUGGUGUCGGCAGGUGUGCCCGGUGAAGGGGUCUAUGGAAGCGAUGGACGGGCAGGAGCUGGCAAUGCGGGUGAGGCUGGCGGAGCUGCAGAGACGGUAUAAAGAGAAGCAGAAGGAACUCGCCAAGCUGCAGAGGAAGCAUGACCACCAGUAAGAACCUUCUAUACGUCUUAAAGUAAAAUAUCCAUAAAAUUAAACUAGUUACAAACCAUUAAC